CUUUACCAGAUCAGGACUUGUUCUUUUCAGUCAUCAGUCAGCCUUCGUUAAAGGCAUAAGCUGUGUCCUCAUCCUAGGUUUUUCUUUUCUACCUUUUCAUCUCAUUUCAUAGUCAUACGUCCAUGAGAAUAAACCAUGACUCAUAACUACCAUGACUACCAUGACUCAUAACUUCGAUGACCAUAAAUAAUCAGGAACACCAAACAAGUUCAUGUUUUAAGUUGAUCAAAAUUGAUGAACGCUAAGAUCAUUGGGAGGCAAGCGCACGUUAAAGAGAAGCAUCUUCUUCCGCAGACCUCACGGCAGCAGAUCGUGUUUUACAGAAGAGCGAUUUGGCAGCUGCGACUCAGUGGGUCAAGGUAAACAGCCAACAGCUUCAAGUGAUUCAUUGUUUAGUGACACAUUUCAUAAUGCUUCCCUUCGACGUAUCCUUGUAAAAGAGAUUCACUUGAUUGUAUACUGCAGUUUGAAGGUGGCUUCAGCAUUCUUCAUGCAUCUCGUGCUGCGUGUUUCAUGGCUCUACUGUUUUCCUUUUUCCUCACACCCAUCCAACAUCCUUCCCCCGAGGAGCCGAGAAGAAUGUCAAAGUUUCGGGUCAUGUUAUUGUCUGCUAAAAUUUAUAUCAGUGUCCAAGUAUAGUAGUUCGGAGCAAGUGUUAAGGAGCCGAAGGACUAAGAGGAGCCUAAAUGACUCUUGCGAGACAGACCAGGAAAACGAUUCAUCUAUUGUAAUAUUACACACAAGAAAGGCAAAUCUGCAGUGCACUUGAGGAAGAAUAGAAAUAAAGGAAGAGGACUUUGCUAUUAAAUCAUCAUCAGGCACCUGAUAAGAGAAUGUAAGUCCUGUGCUAUCUCUGUCCUUCAGUACCAACCUUUUGCUUUCCAUACAGGAGCGCUGGAUAAUUAAAAGAUGAAGUGAUAGCACCGCAGACCGCUAAGACCUCAUCUCUGUUCUCCCUGCUCUGACAUAAUUAAUAUAAAGGAUUUAAGAAGUCACUCAUUAAAGUCUGUCUCUUUUUUCCCUCUUUGCCUUUGACAAUUUAUGCUCAUUAAAAAUUAUACUUUUUUAUCUUUAGUUAUGCUGCUAAACAAGCUGGAAAGCAGUAAAGAAGAAUAGUUUUCAUAGGUCGUCGCU